rnacentral:rRNA from 1 species
AACGAACGCUGGCGGCAUGCCUAACACAUGCAAGUCGAACGAGACCUUCGGGUCUAGUGGCGCACGGGUGCGUAACGCGUGGGAAUCUGCCCUUAGGUACGGGAAUAACUCAGAGAAAUUUGUGCUAAUACCGUAUGAUGUCGAAAGACCAAAGAUUUAUCGCCUAAGGAUGAGCCCGCGUAAGAUUAGCUUGUUGGUGAGGUAAAAGCUCACCAAGGCGACGAUCUUUAGCUGGUCUGAGAGGAUGAUCAGCCACACUGGGACUGAGACACGGCCCAGACUCCUACGGGAGGCAGCAGUGGGGAAUUUUUGGACAAUGGGCGCAAGCCUGAUCCAGCAAUGCCGCGUGCAGGAUGAAGGCCUUCGGUUGGUAAACUAGCUUUGUUACGGAACGAAACGGUAGAGCGUCUAAUAC